rnacentral:lncRNA from 1 species
AGGGAUAAUGAGUCGCUUUGAAGGUGGUUUGCUGACAAGCGAAGAGCGGGAUUUUGCUCCUCGUGAAUCCUUAAUCAAGCAUGCCAUUUUCAAAAUAAUUCCUGAAAGUUUCAAAGCAGUUUGUAAGAGGCCAACAAAAUAACCUUUUCUUCUAUUAUAUCACAUCUCAAAGGAACAAAUAGGUUCCCAUUCAGAGCCUUACCAAAAUCAUUAUCCACAUUAGCAGCAUGAAAUAUGCCACUGUAAAUGGAUCCAUUUUUUAGGUGAACUUCAACCUGAUGUCCAAUCUUACAGGUUGUGAAAUACAACAACCGCUCGUGAGAAGGGGUAUCCACACUUCCAGCUUCCCAGCCGUUCUCUGGUACAUACGUAACAACAAAUAAGAAAUUUCAGAUCAUGUUGUUAAUGUUAGAUCAAAAUAAAGAUAUAAAUGUAUAGAUAUAUAUAUACAAUACCUGUAAUGUUCACAGACGGCUGUGCCAUAUUCACCCCUGCCUCCUUUUCAACUAUUCUGUGUGGAAAUCCAUUGGGUGAAGAGCUUGAGAGAAG